GCAGUGGGGGCUCAGAGGUAGAAUUCUGGUCUUCCACGUGGGAGACCUGGGUUCAAUUCCCAGCCAGUGUA
rnacentral:tRNA from 1 species